rnacentral:rRNA from 1 species
AGAGUUUGAUCAUGGCUCAGAUUGAACGCUGGCGGCAGGCCUAACACAUGCAAGUCGAACGGUAACAGGAAGAAGCUUGCUUCUUUGCUGACGAGUGGCGGACGGGUGAGUAAUGUCUGGGAAACUGCCUGAUGGAGGGGGAUAACUACUGGAAACGGUAGCUAAUACCGCAUAACGUCGCAAGACCAAAGAGGGGGACCUUCGGGCCUCUUGCCAUCGGAUGUGCCCAGAUGGGAUUAGCUAGUAGGUGGGGUAACGGCUCACCUAGGCGACGAUCCCUAGCUGGUCUGAGAGGAUGACCAGCCACACUGGAACUGAGACACGGUCCAGACUCCUACGGGAGGCAGCAGUGGGGAAUAUUGCACAAUGGGCGCAAGCCUGAUGCAGCCAUGCCGCGUGUAUGAAGAAGGCCUUCGGGUUGUAAAGUACUUUCAGCGGGGAGGAAGGGAGUAAAGUUAAUACCUUUGCUCAUUGACGUUACCCGCAGAAGAAGCACCGGCUAACCGG